rnacentral:rRNA from 1 species
CAGCAGCCACGGUAAUACGAAGGGGGCUAGCGUUGUUCGGAUUUACUGGGCGUAAAGGGCGCGUAGGCGGGCUGAUAAGUCAGGGGUGAAAUCCCAAGGCUCAACCUUGGAACUGCCUUUGAUACUGUUUGUCUUGAGUUCGAGAGAGGUAAGUGGAACUGCGAGUGUAGAGGUGAAAUUCGUAGAUAUUCGCAAGAACACCAGUGGCGAAGGCGGCUUACUGGCUCGAAACUGACGCUGAGGCGCGAAAGCGUGGGGAGCAAACAGGAUUAGAGACCCCAGUAGUCCCUGUCUCUUAUAU